AUUUAAUUAAUCGUAGUCGUGGUGUGAAUGCAGUUUCAGCGGAAUUUAAAUCGCGGUGCGAUCAACUUCUGAGUCCGAUGUCUCGUGUAAUAAAGAAAUACUUCGUUACUCGAGUAUAACAUAAUUGGACAGUGGAAAACAAAAUGGAAGAGCUCUUGCUUACGGUAUUUAUAUCGCGACGAUAUUCUUCAAAAGUAAAACAUGCUGAAACUCGAAAGUCAUAGUUCUUUACGCAUGUCUGAGAUUCUUCCUCUAGGAAGAAAUUUCUUGGCUGUCUGUACUUUCACACGGCACGUCAACAAACAAUUGGGAAAUGAACAAAACGACAACUUCGCACUAUGAUAUAUGGCAUUUUGGAUGCCGGAAUUACCGAUAUUGCGUAUUUCUCAUUAUCAUUAUCGGAAAAUGGUGAAACGGAGGUUAAAUUCUUCUUUACAAAAAAUUAUAACAUGUACAAAUCGAUGUCGAAUUGUCAAAGACUCCAAAAGAACGCAACAGGACUGGCACCCAACUAUAAUCAGGAAA